rnacentral:rRNA from 1 species
UACGUAGGCAGCAAGCGUUGUUCGGAGUUACUGGGCGUAAAGGGUGUGUAGGCGGUUCCCUAAGUUUGGUGUGAAAUCUCCCGGCUCAACUGGGAGGGUGCGCCGAAAACUGGGGGGCUAGAGUACUGGAUGGGAGAGUGGAAUUCCUGGUGUAGCGGUGAAAUGCGUAGAUACCAGGAGGAACACCAAUAGCGAAGGCAGCUCGCUGGGACGGUACUGACGCUAAGGCGCGAAAGCGUGGG